GACGAACGCUGGCGGCGUGCUUAACACAUGCAAGUCGAACGGAAAGGCACUGCUUUUGUGGGGUGCUCGAGUGGCGAACGGGUGAGGAACACGUGAGUAACCUGCCCUUGUCUUUGGGAUAACUUCAGGUAACUGGGGCUAAUCUAGGAUAGGAGCUCCUGCUGCGUGGAGGGGGUUGGAAAGUUUCGGCGGGUGGGGAUGGACUCGCGGCUUAUGAGCUUGUUGGUGGGGGAGUGGAUUACCCAGGGUUUGACGGGUAGCCGGCCUGAGAGGGUGACCGGCGACAUGGGGACUGAGAUACGCCCCAGAGUGCUACGGGAGGCAGCAGGGGGGAAUCUGGCACAAUGGGCGGACGCGUGAUGCAGCAACGCCGCGGGCGGGAUGACGGCCUUCGGGUAGUAAACAGCUUUAGCCUGUGACGAAGCGGGAGUGACGGUAAUGGGUAAAGAAGCACCGGCUAACUACGUG
rnacentral:rRNA from 1 species